rnacentral:rRNA from 1 species
AGUGAACGCUGGCGGUAGGCCUAACACAUGCAAGUCGAACGGCAGCACAGUAAGAGCUUGCUCUUACGGGUGGCGAGUGGCGGACGGGUGAGGAAUACAUCGGAAUCUACUUUUUCGUGGGGGAUAACGUAGGGAAACUUACGCUAAUACCGCAUACGACCUACGGGUGAAAGCAGGGGAUCUUCGGACCUUGCGCGAUUGAAUGAGCCGAUGUCGGAUUAGCUAGUUGGCGGGGUAAAGGCCCACCAAGGCGACGAUCCGUAGCUGGUCUGAGAGGGUGGUCAGCCACACUGGAACUGAGACACGGUCCAGACUCCUACGGGAGGCAGCAGUGGGGAAUAUUGGACAAUGGGCGCAAGCCUGAUCCAGCCAUACCGCGUGAGUGAAGAAGGCCUUCGGGUUGUAAAGCCCUUUUGUUGGGAAAGAAAAGCAGCAGGUUAAUACCCCGCUGUUCUGACGGUACCCAAAGAAUAAGCACCGGCUAACUUCGUG